UACGUAGGGUGCAGGCGUUAAUCGGAAUUACUGGGCGUAAAGCGUGCGCAGGCGAUUUGCUAAGACAGGUGUGAAAUCCCCGGGCUUAACCUGGGAACUGCGCUUGUAACUGGCAAGCUGGAGUGUGGCAGAGGGGGGUGGAAUUCCACGUGUAGCAGUGAAAUGCGUAGAGAUGUGGAGGAACACCGAUGGCGAAGGCAGCCCCCUGGGCUAACACUGACGCUCAUGCACGAAAGCGUGGGGAGCAAACAGG
rnacentral:rRNA from 1 species